CCUGAAAGCUAGACUGUGUGAACCUAUCAGCCUUUUCCACAGCCUUUCCCACACUUACUGGUGCCACAAGGUGUGCAACCUGAGGCUCAGGCAUGCUAUCAAUGCCUAACUGAUGCUGUAGGAAUUAACACCCACUCUUCUGGAAAUGCUAGAACAGGUGCUUUUGGUGCUCAAGUCACAUCCUUGGAUUCGCCUUGAACUCCGGUGCAGUCAUGUGGACAGAUACUCUGCAUAAUUGGUGAUUUCUGAUUGCCUGGCUGAAAUUUUUCUCGACGCUGGUUGUAAUCAUUGCCUGAUGGGAACAUUUCAUUCUUCAGCAUGUGUAGUCAUAAUUGUUUUAGAUUUCUAUGUGAAGUUAAUCAACCCUGAAGGAGACCCCCUGGAUGUCACCAUAGAGGUGUCUGGAGAUCUGUGAUUCAAGUGGUUGGUUCAGCAGCUCAAUCAUCCGUCUCCACUGAAUCCCAACCUGAAGGUUUUAUGCAGCAGUCCCCGAUUCAAAGCGUCCUCCUGCAAGCAAGUCACUAAAACAAAGACUUGUGGGCCCUGGGAGAAGCAGGGAAGGGACAUUUGAAGACUUUGCCUACUGAUGGCAGGAUUGAACCUGUUCCCCACAGCCGGAGACGCACUAUAACCUGUGCUCCACACCUUCACAAGCACGAAGAACAAGGCAAGUUUGUUUUCCAAGUUGACUAACGUUGAUAGCAGCCAUUCCAAACAUGGAAAGGAUUUACUUACUCAGUUCACUUCCUGGUGUUACAAGGCACUGAAACUUGC
ensembl:lncRNA